UGUUAGAUGCGAUGGGGGGACGGAUCGCGGAAGGUUGUCCGGGUGUUGGAAGUCCCGGUCGCUGCAUUGGAGAAGGCACUUAGGCAAAUCCGGGUGCGGAAUUCAAGGGUGUGGCGCGAGCUCCCUAGGGAGCGAAGCAAUUGGAAGUGGUUCCAAGAAAAGCCUCUAAGCUUCAGUCUAAUGAUGACCGUACCGCAAACCGACACAGGUGGGCGAGAUGAGUAUUCUAAGGCGCUUGAGAGAACUCGGGAGAAGGAAC
rnacentral:rRNA from 1 species